CCGUCUGAGAAAAAAUACACAAACUUACAGAUAAUGAAAAUCGAGAAUGUGUGAAUGUGAAAGUCGCAGAUGCGAACGCUUUCGUUUGAUUUUUCCUGUUUUGAUCGAAAAUUUAUAAUUAUAUGAAUUUGUAAUUAUUGUUUUGUUAGGUUCAAGGUGAACGUCUUGUAAUUAUAGUGAGUAAGAAAUAAUAAAUUUGCUAUUUUCGUGGCAAGACGUAAUUUUUAAAAAAUCACGAUUUUGUUAUUUCUGUUCAUAGAUAAAAAUAAAUUAUAGUUCGUCUCAAUGUCAAAAAUAUUUGUUUCAUUUCGAGAAACAACAAUAAAUUGCUUGAUUUACGAUUAUUGGCUUUUAUCGAUGUUUUUGCAGUGGUUUAUGCAAACACAGUCUCCUAAAUUCAUUGUCAAAUCGCAUUUCAUUCAAAUAAAGUUUCAUCAUUGCGUAAAUAAAUGCGAGUUUCCUAAUACAAAUCGGGUUACAGCUCGUAGACAAUAGAGUGUCGGCAUGAAAAAAUUCUCUAACAUAAUAAUUGAAUGCACCGAUGAUUACGAAAUGGAAGGUUUGAUUAAAGCAUUCAUGGGAGUAUUAACUCACUGACCGUUGCUACGAACACAAUGAUUCUUUAAGCUAA